UACGUAGGGUGCGAGCGUUGUCCGGAUUUACUGGGCGUAAAGGGCGCGUAGGCGGCCUUGUCAGUCAGGCGUGAAAGCCCCGGGCUCAACCUGGGAACGGCGCUUGGGACGGCGAGGCUGGAGUUCGGGAGAGGAGAGUGGAAUUCCCAGUGUAGAGGUGAAAUUCGUAGAUAUUGGGAAGAACACCGGUGGCGAAGGCGGCUCACUGGCUCGUAACUGACGCUCAUGCACGACAGCGUGGGGAUCAAACAGG
rnacentral:rRNA from 1 species